rnacentral:rRNA from 1 species
UACGUAGGUGGCGAGCGUUGUCUGGAUUUACUGGGCGUAAAGGGAGCGUAGGCGGACUUUUAAGUGAGAUGUGAAAUACUCGGGCUCAACUUGAGUGCUGCAUUUCAAACUGGAAGUCUAGAGUGCAGGAGAGGAGAAUGGAAUUCCUAGUGUAGCGGUGAAAUGCGUAGAGAUUAGGAAGAACACCAGUGGCGAAGGCGAUUCUCUGGACUGUAACUGACGCUGAGGCUCGAAAGCGUGGGGAGCAAACAGG